rnacentral:rRNA from 1 species
CAGCAGCCGCGGGAAUACGAGGGGGGCAAGCGUUAAUCGGAAUUACUGGGCGUAAAGGGAGCGUAGGCGGCGUGGUAAGUCAGAUGUGAAAUCCCGGGGCUCAACCCCGGAACUGCAUCCGGUACUGCCGUGCUAGAGGAUUGGAGAGGUAGCUGGAAUUCUUGGUGUAGCAGUGAAAUGCGUGGAGAUCAAGAGGAACACUCGUGGCGAAAGCGAGCUACUGGACAAUAUCUGACGCUGAGGCUCGAAGGCCAGGGUAGCGAAAGGGAUUAGAUACCCCAGUAGUCCCUGUCUCUUAUAC